AACCAACUCUCUUCAAUUCCAUUUCAAUAUAUUUUUCCUCUAAAAGAUAUGGGUCAAGCCAAAGCCUUGCGUUUGGUCUUUGGAGUUCUUGGGUUACUUUCAAGAGGAUCAUCGUGAACAAAUCAACUAAGCAAUUCUCAGGCAUUCCAUAUGUUAUGACAUUGCUCAAUUGUUUACUUGCUACUUGGUAUGGGUUGCCUUUCAUAUCACCAAACAACUACUCCCUCCGUUUCUUCAUAGUUGAGUCAUUUUUUUCAUUUCGGGAAG